rnacentral:rRNA from 1 species
UACGUAGGGUGCGAGCGUUAAUCGGAAUUACUGGGCGUAAAGCGUGCGCAGGCGGUCUGUUAAGACCGAUGUGAAAUCCCCGGGCUUAACCUGGGAACUGCAUUGGUGACUGGCAGGCUUUGAGUGUGGCAGAGGGAGGUAGAAUUCCACGUGUAGCAGUGAAAUGCGUAGAGAUGUGGAGGAAUACCGAUGGCGAAGGCAAUCCCCUGGGCCUGUACUGACGCUCAUGCACGAAAGCGUGGGGAGCAAACAGG